rnacentral:rRNA from 1 species
UACGUAGGGGGCAAGCGUUGUCCGGAAUCAUUGGGCGUAAAGCGUGCGUAGGCGGUCCCGCAAGUCCGCUGUGAAAGCCCCGAGCUUAACUUGGGAACUGCAGUGGAAACUAUGGGACUUGAAUCCGGCAGAGGGGGGUGGAAUGCCACGUGUAGCAGUGAAAUGCGUAGAGAUGUGGCGGAACACCGAUGGCGAAGGCAGCCCCCUGGGCUGAGAUUGACGCUCAGGCACGAAAGCGUGGGGAGCAAACAGG